UGUGCCUUCGGGAACUUAGAGACAGGUGCUGCAUGGCUGUCGUCAGCUCGUGUUGUGAAAUGUUGGGUUAAGUCCCGCAACGAGCGCAACCCUUAUCCUUUGUUGCCAGCGAUUUGGUCGGGAACUCAAAGGAGACUGCCAGUGAUAAACUGGAGGAAGGUGGGGAUGACGUCAAGUCAUCAUGGCCCUUACGAGUAGGGCUACACACGUGCUACAAUGGUGCAUACAGAGGGCGACGAAGC
rnacentral:rRNA from 1 species